CAAGGGAUGUGAUAGGAGAAGGGCAUCCCCCCAAGAGUCCCCAGGCAUGGUGCUACCGGAACCUGCUGCCUUGGCAUGGAAAGGUGUCAGGAAGUGACAGGCAGAGCCCACCAUGGGCAUCUUAGUAUCAGCUUCUCAGAUGUGCCCCCAGGACCCCUGAGGUAUCACAGCUGGCCAAAUGCCAUGGUCCAGUCUGGACAGCAUCACCACAGCAUGAAGUCAGAGCCCUUUCCUUUCCACUCUGGCUGCAACAACAAAGGAACUCACCUAAAAGCAGCUGAGCAAACACACGCAGCAUCUGUGAGCAUCUCGACCCACUGCUCAGCCAGCGCGCAGUGAGACGCCUGGAACACGGGUGCAGAAUCUUAGUUUCUUGACCAGAGAGCGAACCUGUGGCUGCUGCAGGCCACCAGGGAAGUCCCCAUUAAGACAACUGACUCUUUUUUUUUAACCCAACAUGGGAUUCCUCAGCAGACACUCAGCCACGCUCACUCCCCAGGAUUAGUGUUGGACGUUCCCACCAGGCUAUGUGCUCUGGGAAUGGUCUCUGUCCUGCUGUUUCCCUGACCAGGGAUGCCCCUCCGCUGGAAACGCAGGGGAGAGCCCAUCAACAGCAAAAGCAGCACUCGCCGCACCCCCGCCUGCCCCCAUCCCACAUACACCUGCGGGCAGGAGGGUGCACCCUGCACUGACCUUUGCCAUAAUCCGGCUCACCAAAGAGACACACGUUUUAAUUCAGAACGCUCCCCUUCGAACUGUUCCAUCAAGGGACCUAAGGAUAAAACCAGGAAGCUGGGAACUGGCAAGUGUGUCCUGAGAAUCCAUGGCACCCAAGCCCUCCUCAGGCCUGAGAUGAUCAGGAACAAGAGAGACGGUUCCAGGCCAGGGAGCUCACAGUGAGCCUGAAGGAAGAAGACCCAUGCGUGGAGGGAACCCUGGAGGAAGCGGCACACAGGAUUGCCCUGUGCUGUGGGGCCCCAGAGUCCCACAGAACUGAGCAGUGGCCCAUCCAGGCUGGGCAGUCAGGGCCUUCAUAGAGCAGUGUUUUGGGUCAAAAAGUGGCCUUGGAGGAACACGAUUCUCUGGACUCCCUGACCUGGGCAUGGCUGUUGGCCCAGAGGAGCUGUCUGGGCCCCUCCACACUGCCCCUCAGGGAAGAGCAUGAGAAUCACAGGGAAGAUAUCAUUUUGUGCACGCCUGCGGCCUGGCACAUCUUACUCAUGCCACUGAAAACCAAGCCAGUGGUAAGGGACACGAGGGGCAGCGUGCUGCUCACAGGAAGCCACGGACGGAGGUCCCAGGGCAUUUUGCUGGGAGGUAACUGCCCUGAAUGUCUGUGGGGUGGGGGGGGGGGAGGGGGU
ensembl:lncRNA